rnacentral:lncRNA from 1 species
AUGCUAGAAAAUAAAAUACCAGAAACACCAAAACAGGCAAUUCAUCAGACACCAAAAGACACGACUCCUCCCAUACCAAGAGAGGUAACCUCUCCGACACCAAGACAGGAGAUUUCUCAGACACCGAGACUGACAAUUGGUCAGAAACCAAAAGAAAUAAUUCCUCCGACACAAGGAGAAAAAAAUCCUCAGAAACCAAAAGAGGUGCAUUUUCAGUCGCCAAAAGUAGUGUCAACCAAGACGUCAAAUGGAUCCAUUACUCAGGCACCAUUAGAAGUUACUCCUCUGUCACAGAAAGAGGUAAAUACUACUUGGAAACCGGUAGAAUUCACUUUCAAUCCGAAUGGCAGUAAUGAUGAUGAUAAUGAUGAUGUUUGCAAUGGGACUAAGGCGACGCCCGAGGAGAAGAAAAACAUGGAGGAAACAGAGAGGAAGAAACAGGAGGAAAAGAAGAAAGAAGAUGAAGAAAAGAGGAGGACUAUUUCAAAGUCGCCAAAGGAGGCGGGGACUACUUGGACACCUAUAGAGUUCGAAUUCAAUCCAAAUGGGGACGAUGAUAAGGGUUGCGAUGGGAAAGAGUUAACGCCCGAGCAGAAGAAAAAGAGGGAGGAGAAAAAGAAGAAGAAAGAAGAGGAAGAGAAGAGAAAAAAAGAGGAAGAAAAGAAGAAAGAACAGGAAGAAAAGAAGAAAGAACAGGAAGAAAAGAAGAAAGAAGAAGAAGAAGAAAAGAAGAAAGAGGAGGAAGAAAGGAAGAAAGAAAAGGAAGAGGAGCUUGAAGAGCAGAGGAGGGAAAAGGCGGAAGAGCUUGAAGAACAGAAGAGGGAAAGGGAAGAAGAGCUUGAAGAACAGAGGAGGGAAAGGGAAGAGGAGCUUGAAGAACAGAAAAGGGAAAGGGAGGAGGAGCUUGAAGAAAGAAGAAGAGAAGAGGCAGAGAGGGAGAAGGAAGAAAGCUGGCAAGAUGACGAUGACGGUUUCAGAUUCAUGAAUCCCAACUUUUCGUAA